GACCUUCGGGGAGCUUGCACAGGUGCUGCAUGGCUGUCGUCAGCUCGUGUCGUGAGAUGUUCGGUUAAGUCCGCUAACGAGCGCAACCCUCACUGUGUGUUAUAUGUGUCACACGGGACUGCCGGUUUUAAGCCGGAGGAAGGUGGGAUGACGUCAAGUCAGCAUGGCCUUUAUAUCCUGGGCUACACACACGCUACAAUGGUCGGUACAAUAGGUUGCCAAGCCGCGAGGCGGAGCCAAUCCAAAAAAGCCGGCCUCAGUUCAGAUUGUAGGCUGCAACUCGCCUGCAUGAAGAUGGAGUUGCUAGUAACCGCAGGUCAGCAAUACUGCGGUGAAUACGUUCCCGGGUCUU
rnacentral:rRNA from 1 species